rnacentral:misc_RNA from 1 species
GAUGAAGAACGUAGUGAAAUGCGAUAAUUAAUGUGAAUUCCAGAAUUCAGUGAAUCAUCGAGUCUUUGAACGCACAUUGCGCCCCCUGGUAUUCCGGGGGGCAUGCCUGUCCGAGCGUCAUUGCUGCCCUCAAGCACGGCUUGUGUGUUGGGCUUCCGUCCCUGGCAACGGGGACGGGCCCAAAAGGCAGUGGCGGCACCAUGUCUGGUCCUCGAGCGUAUGGGGCUUUGUCACCCGCUCCCGUAGGUCCAGCUGGCAGCUAGCCUCGCAACCAAUCUUUUUAACCAGGUUGACCUCGGAUCAGGUAGGGAUACCCGCUGAACUUAAGCAUAUCAAUAAGCGGAGGA